rnacentral:rRNA from 1 species
AUGGCUCGCGUCGUCGGCGUGCCGCCGUUCCUCCUCGUCUCCCUCCUCGCAUUAUCGUCCGUGGCCCUUGCCGACAUGGUGCUCGGCCGCAAGGGCAGUACAGUGGAGGAGCCCGAGCCAGCGGAUGUGCAGUUGCCGGGGGUGAGCAAGUACGCUGUGAUCUUCGACGCCGGGAGCACGGGAACGCGUGUGCACGUCUUCAAGUUUGACAACAAGAUGGAACUCCUGAAGAUCGAUGACCAGGUCGAGGUCUUCGCCAAGGUGUCCCCCGGGCUGAGCUCCUACUCUGGGCGGCCACUGGAAGCUGCCAAGUCCGUGAUACCACUGCUCGACAAGGCAAAGGGCACCGUGCCUUGGUGGCAAAUGAACAGAACUCCUCUUAAACUAGGGGCCACGGCUGGGCUGAGACUUAUCGGAGAUAAGCAAUCAGAGCAGAUCCUGGAAGCGGUCAGGGAUAUUGUCCACACCAAGAGCAAAUUCCAGUACAACUCAAAGUGGAUCAAUGUUCUCGAGGGAUCUCAGGAAGGCUCUUACAUGUGGGUUGCUCUGAACUAUCUGUUGGAUAGAUUGGGAGGAGACUACUCCAAGACGGUAGGCGUGAUCGACCUUGGAGGCGGCUCCGUCCAAAUGGCGUACGCCGUCUCUCCAAACGCUGCCGCAAACGCCCCGGCGGUGCCUGAUGGCAAGGACCCUUACAUCACCAAGGAGUACUUGAAGGGAAAAGACUACAACGUCUACGUCCACAGCUACCUGUACUACGGCAACAUGGCUGCUCGCGUGGAGAUCCUCAAGGCAAAGUCGGGCCCGUUCAGCUCGUGCAUGCUACGCGGAUCCACCGGUAACUACACCUACAACGGCGAGGUAUACGAAGCGGCGGCCGCGCCAGAAGGCGCCGUAUACAGGAAGUGCAGGAAGGAGGUAGCCAGGGCACUGAAGCUAGACGCGCCGUGCGAAGCCAAGAACUGCACCUUCGGCGGCGUGUGGGGCGGCGGUGGCGGCGCCGGGCAGGCGACACUUUAUGCAGCCUCCUCCUUCUACGUCAAGGCCUCCCAGGUCGGAUGGGUUAAGAAGGGCACCCCGAGCGCCAGGUCUAGCCCGGCGGCGUUCAGGGCAGCGGCGGUGAAGAUCUGCCGGCUUAGCCUUGAGGAGGCGCAGACGGCCUAUCCCGGGGUGCGCGAAGUGCCCUACAUCUGCAUGGACCUGGUGUACCAGUACACACUGCUCGUCUACGGGUUCGGGUUGACACGGGCGAGGGAGAUCACCCUGGUGGAGAAAGUGAAGCACGGGGAAUACUUCAUGGAAGCCAAGUGGCCGCUCGGCGAGGCUAUCGAGGCCGUAGCGCCUAAGAAGCGCAUCCACCAAGAUCCGGUGAAUGUUGCGCGAUCGCUAAUAUGA